UAGGGAAUUUUCGGCAAUGGGGGGAACCCUGACCGAGCAACGCCGCGUGAACGAAGAAGUUAUUCGUAAUGUAAAGUUCUUUUAUCAGGGAAGAAAAGAAGAGGAUUGACGGUACCUGAUGAAUAAGCUCCGGCUAACUACGUGCCAGCAGCCGCGGUAAUACGUAGGGAGCGAGCGUUAUCCGGAAUUAUUGGGCGUAAAGGGUGCGUAGAUGGCAAUUUAAGUUUCUUGUAAAAAUGCUAGGCUCAACCUAGUAGGGCAAGAGAUACUGAAUAGCUAGAGUAUGACAGAGGCAAGUGGAACUACAUGUGUAGCGGUAAAAUGCGUAAAUAUAUGUAAGAACACCGGUGGCGAAGGCGGCUUGCUGGGUCGAUACUGACAUUGAGGCACGAAAGCGUGGGGAGCAAACAGG
rnacentral:rRNA from 1 species